CUUGUCUUCCUUGAGGUACACUUUGCCACUCGUACCAUCGCGCUGUGCUAACCAGGCCCACGCUGUUACUUUUUGUGCUGCAGUCAUGGCCGCUGUUUCCGUGUUCCGUGUUGCUGUUGUGCUGUUCUUUUGUAGGCUUUGCAGAGCUGCUGGGGAUAAGAGUGAGCCAGACCUACACGUGUUCGGUCUGCUCAGGGAGAAGUCGGAGGCUGAGAUGAUCUUCGUGCAUUCAGCUUGCAGACUCAAUCACACAAAUAUUCAGGUGGUGCGCGGGUGGUGCACGUCGGCGAGCUGCGUCGGGCUGGGCCUUCUGAGGGACCGGCUGAGGAGCCUGCCCGAGGCCGACUGGCUCAUCCUUAACGACCUGAGGCAAGGCUUCACCCACGUGAUGGCAAGACCGAAGGACGUGAUGGAUCAGCUGAUCGCCUCGGGGCACUCGCUGAUCCUGGUCCCGCGGCCUCACACGCCGGGGCUGAAGGAGGCGAUGGAGAAGCAGAUGGCGGAGGCGCUGAAGGGGAAGGAAGGAGAGGCACCCGGGGAAGGAAAGCGAGAAGGAGGAAAAGAGGAGAAGGCCAAGAAAACGGGAGAUAAGGCAGAAGUCGAUGAGGCAGCGCUCCAGAAGGCUGUGUAUAACGCCUUGAAGGGAGGGUCAGUCAUCGGUCGAGUAGGCGUGGUCCUCAAAGUCCUGGAGACGGGCGUGGCUAAUAAAGAAGAGGGCGUGGUCAAGGAAGAGGUUGUGACAAAAGCUUUCACCGACACGAAAGCCGAGUACGUUUUCUUCGGUGGCAGACAGCACGGUGAAAUGAGCAUCCAGGUCCCCAUCAGAAUCAAGUUUAUCCCCGCAAAAGGGCGCAGAAGACGCAGAAGGAGGAGGCAAAGGAGCCGAAGGAGGCGAGGGAGGCGAGGAUGCAGCAGGGGGAGAGAGGCCUCACACCACUCCGUUCCUCAUUCACACCGACGAGGAGAAACCUGAGAUCUACAACAUGAUCGAGGCCAUGGGGGAAGGUCCUGCCUCCUGCCCCCUUGAGGUCGUCGACGCUAAGGAUAAAAAGGACAACAGCGUAAGAGAAGCAGAAGAAGGAGCAGAAGAAGGAGGAGAAGCAGGAGGAGCAGAAGAAGGAGCAGAAGCAGGAGGAGCAGGAGACGAGCAGCCUCCUCGCAUCCUCGUGGCCGUCCUCCUGGCUGGCUCCUGGACGCCCUUCCUACGCGAGGUCCUCCAAGGGCUCGAGGAACAGGAUUACCCGAAGGACAGAGUGGGCGUCUGGAUUCAUGCGAAGCCGGGAUUGCAGGAGGAGGAGAUCGAAGCCUUUAGAACAAAGAACAAGGAUCUCUACGCGGAUCUGGAAGUUUCUACCGUGGAGGCAAUCAGCGUGGAUACUCUGAGG